CAGAUUAACAUGACUAUCUAACUCUGUCGCAUCUACGCACUACCAGAGUAGAUUCAACAUGACUUCUACAAAUAAAGGCAGAUUCAUCAUUUGUCUUUGGAGAUUCACAUACAUUUGAAUACCUUCCUAUAUGGAGAAAGAAAAGAGAAAAACUAAGAAAGGUGAAUUUAAACAUAAUUGAUGGC